rnacentral:rRNA from 1 species
CCAAGUCGUAACAAGGUAUAGUUUGAUCAUGGCUCAGGAUGAACGCUGGCGGCGUGCUUAACACAUGCAAGUCGAACGGUGAAGCAGAGCUUGCUCUGUGGAUCAGUGGCGAACGGGUGAGUAACACGUGAGCAACCUGCCCUGGACUCUGGGAUAAGCGCUGGAAACGGCGUCUAAUACUGGAUACGAGACGUGGCCGCAUGGUCAACGUUUGGAAAGAUUUUUUGGUUCAGGAUGGGCUCGCGGCCUAUCAGCUUGUUGGUGAGGUAAUGGCUCACCAAGGCGUCGACGGGUAGCCGGCCUGAGAGGGUGACCGGCCACACUGGGACUGAGACACGGCCCAGACUCCUACGGGAGGCAGCAGUGGGGAAUAUUGCACAAUGGGCGAAAGCCUGAUGCAGCAACGCCGCGUGAGGGAUGACGGCCUUCGGGUUGUAAACCUCUUUUAGCAAGGAAGAAGCGAAAGUGACGGUACUUGCAGAAAAAGCGCCGGCUAACUACGUGCCAGCAGCCGCGGUAAUACGUAGGGCGCAAGCGUUAUCCGGAAUUAUUGGGCGUAAAGAGCUCGUAGGCGGUUUGUCGCGUCUGCUGUGAAAACUGGAGGCUCAACCUCCAGCCUGCAGUGGGUACGGGCAGACUAGAGUGCGGUAGGGGAGAUUGGAAUUCCUGGUGUAGCGGUGGAAUGCGCAGAUAUCAGGAGGAACACCGAUGGCGA